GCGAAAGUAGCUCAGUUGGUAGAGCACGACCUUCCCAAGGUCGGGGUCGCGGGUUCGAUCUCGUUUUUUUGUG
rnacentral:tRNA from 1 species